UACGAAGGGGGCUAGCGUUGCUCGGAAUCACUGGGCGUAAAGGGUGCGUAGGCGGGUCUUUAAGUCAGGGGUGAAAUCCUGGAGCUCAACUCCAGAACUGCCUUUGAUACUGAGGAUCUUGAGUUCGGGAGAGGUGAGUGGAACUGCGAGUGUAGAGGUGAAAUUCGUAGAUAUUCGCAAGAACACCAGUGGCGAAGGCGGCUAUCUGGGCUGGAACUGACGCUGAUGCGCGACAGCAUGGGGAGCAAACAGG
rnacentral:rRNA from 1 species